UAAAAACAAAUGUAUUUGAGGGGUGGCAGACCUUCCAUCAUACAUAUAGUUUGGAUAUAGACAUCUGCAUUCAGCUCAUUGGCUUUCUUUAUCAGGAAAAAGAGUUCAGACAGAAUCGAUGCGGCACACAAUGAAGUGGACUCCAACGUAAAUUGGCUCACUUGGGAGACAGAAGGCGUCUCUUGCUCCAAAUACAACACCACUUGCCCAUUGAUUGGAUGCAGAAUUGGCUGGGUUUGCACUUCCUGCAGACUUGGACCCCUCCGAGCGGCCACACAAUGGAGAUGGUUCACGUGCCAGCCUCUACGCCUCUCCUGUCCCUGAACUGAAGAGAUUAAGGGUGAACAUUAAAAUGGUAUAAUGCCACACUAUGAAAGGAGACACCAGUUUUAUAUAUAUAAAAAAUGAUGUUUAGAUUUAAUAAAUGAACUGGGUUGUAUCAUUUGUAAUUUCUCAAUAUAUGAACAUAAUUUUUAAACAUGGAAAUCAUGUUCA